GAGACACUAGUAAAACGCACCAUUACCCUGCCUUGUCAAGACAGAAUUGUGGGUUAAACCCCCGCGUGUUUCA
rnacentral:tRNA from 1 species